rnacentral:rRNA from 1 species
CCUACGGGAGGCUGCAGUGGGGAAUAUUGGACAAUGGGCGAAAGCCUGAUCCAGCCAUGCCGCGUGUGUGAAGAAGGCCUUCGGGUUGUAAAGCACUUUCAGUGGGGAAGAAAGCCUUGGGGCUAAUACCCUCGAGGAAGGACAUCACCCACAGAAGAAGCACCGGCUAACUCCGUGCCAGCAGCCGCGGUAAUACGGAGGGUGCGAGCGUUAAUCGGAAUUACUGGGCGUAAAGCGCGCGUAGGCGGUCUGAUAAGCCGGUUGUGAAAGCCCCGGGCUCAACCUGGGAACGGCAUCCGGAACUGUCAGGCUAGAGUGCAGGAGAGGAAGGUAGAAUUCCCGGUGUAGCGGUGAAAUGCGUAGAGAUCGGGAGGAAUACCAGUGGCGAAGGCGGCCUUCUGGACUGACACUGACGCUGAGGUGCGAAAGCGUGGGUAGCAAACAGGAUUAGAUCCCCGGUAGUC